CACAGAGAUUUGUCAUGGAACAUGUUGAAAUCUAUACCAGUGAACGCGUUCCAGAAUUUGACGAAACUAACGUACUUAGACCUUGGAGGGAACCUUUUGGAGCAUAUUCCUCCGAGCGCACUCCAGAAUUUGAAGAAUCUAACAAGAAUAUUUCUAUGGGGCAACUAUAUUUCGCAGAGUGCCUUCAAAGUGUUCUCAAAAGAGAU